AAGGGCUUGGAGUCCAUGCCCAGGUACCUUAUCAGUCCUGCGGCCUCUGGUCCCCUUUGGUGGCCCUCGCUUGGGUGUCACCUCUCCAGCUUCCACAGUUCCUGAUCCCUGCGGCUCUAGUCACUAGGAGACCGCGAAGAGCCAUUCAUAACCCAGGUUCUUCCUGGAGGCGGGACAGUGCUGACAUCACCUGCGCAGCCUGGAUUCUGACAGUGAAUACCUGCUACUGAGGGAACAUCUCCGUGCCACUGAGUGGACAACAGUGAAAUGAGUACACCUGAGCCAUGGGAAGACAUGCCUUGCUUCCCCCUCACCUUCUGCUGUGAUUGUAAGUUUCCUGAGGCCUCCCCAGCCAUGCUUCUGGGACCUUGCUGUAUAGCUUUCUCAAAUUCAUGUUCAUGGACUGUGCACCUGUACUGAUUCCCUGCCUUUCCAUUUGGCAGCUGUGUAGCUCCUCACGGCAUGACACACCUGGGACAGCCUCAUGAGAACUAAAUGUCAACUGUGUCCUCAUCUCUAACUAGAGAUAGAACCACUUAUCCUGUGAUAACAUGUAGGUCCUUUGGGAGAGCUUACAUCUAG
rnacentral:lncRNA from 1 species